rnacentral:rRNA from 1 species
AACGAACGCUGGCGGCAGGCUUAACACAUGCAAGUCGAGCGCCCCGCAAGGGGAGCGGCAGACGGGUAAGUAACGCGUGGGAAUCUACCCAUCUCUACGGAAUAACGCAUGGAAACGUGUGCUAAUACCGUAUACGUCCUUCGGGAGAAAGAUUUAUCGGAGAUGGAUGAGCCCGCGUUGGAUUAGCUAGUUGGUGGGGUAAAGGCCUACCAAGGCGACAAUCCAUAGCUGGUCUGAGAGGAUGAUCAGCCACACUGGGACUGAGACACGGCCCAGACUCCUACGGGAGGCAGCAGUGGGGAAUAUUGGACAAUGGGCGCAAGCCUGAUCCAGCCAUGCCGCGUGAGUGAUGAAGGCCCUAGGGUUGUAAAGCUCUUUCACCGGUGAAGAUAAUGACGGUAACCGGAGAAGAAGCCCCGGCUAACUUCGUGCCAGCCGCCGCAGUAAUAC